CACGUAGGGCGCGAGCGUUGUCCGGAAUUAUUGGGCGUAAAGAGCUCGUAGGCGGCCUGUUGCGUCCGCUGUGAAAGCCCGGGGCUUAACCCCGGGUCGGCAGUGGAUACGGGCAGGCUAGAGGUAGGUAGGGGAGAAUGGAAUUCCCGGUGUAGCGGUGAAAUGCGUAGAUAUCGUCAGGAAUGCCGGUGGUGAAGACGGGUGACUGGGCUGGUUCUGACACUGAGGCACGAAAGCGUGGGGAGCGAACGGG
rnacentral:rRNA from 1 species